rnacentral:lncRNA from 1 species
AGAAGCCGAUCUGCCAAGAAAAAAAGGAACCGAAGCAGAUUUUAGAACAAAGACAAAAAAAUUAAAAUCGACUGUGUUGUGCUUUUUCUGUUAUUGUAGGUAACGGCGGUCCUCACCGCCGGCGUUGGGAGGCUGAGAAGAGGGAGUCGAUCCAGCCCCUUGCUGUUGGGUUUUCUUGCGGCGGCGCGUGGACCCACGCGCCGCCAGUGGCGGUGGUGCGUGGAUCCACGCGCCGGAACUGUUCACGCAGCCCCCAGGAGUCCUUCCCUGCAAUUUCUGGAGUUUUUA